rnacentral:rRNA from 1 species
GACGAACGCUGGCGGCGUGCUUAACACAUGCAAGUCGAACGGAAAGGCCCUGCUUUUGUGGGGUGCUCGAGUGGCGAACGGGUGAGUAACACGUGAGUAACCUGCCCCUGACUUUGGGAUAACUUCAGGAAACUGGGGCUAAUACCGGAUAGGAGCUCCUGCUGCAUGGUGGGGGUUGGAAAGUUUCGGCGGUUGGGGAUGGACUCGCGGCUUAUCAGCUUGUUGGUGGGGUAGUGGCUUACCAAGGCUUUGACGGGUAGCCGGCCUGAGAGGGUGACCGGCCACAUUGGGACUGAGAUGCGGCCCAGACAGGUAAGGGAGGCAGCAGUGGGGAAGAUUGCACAAUGGGCGGAAGCCUGGUGCAGCAACGCCGCGUGCGGGAUGACGGCCUUCGGGUUGUAAACCGCUUUCGCCUGUGACGAAGCGUGAGUGACGGUAAUGGGUAAAGAAGCACCGGCUAACUACGUG